AGUCGAGCGGAUGACAGGAGCUUGCUCCUGAAUUCAGCGGCGGACGGGUGAGUAAUGCCUAGGAAUCUGCCUGGUAGUGGGGGACAACGUUUCGAAAGGAACGCUAAUACCGCAUACGUCCUACGGGAGAAAGCAGGGGACCUUCGGGCCUUGCGCUAUCAGAUGAGCCUAGGUCGGAUUAGCUAGUUGGUGAGGUAAUGGCUCACCAAGGCGACGAUCCGUAACUGGUCUGAGAGGAUGAUCAGUCACACUGGAACUGAGACACGGUCCAGACUCCUACGGGAGGCAGCAGUGGGGAAUAUUGGACAAUGGGCGAAAGCCUGAUCCAGCCAUGCCGCGUGUGUGAAGAAGGUCUUCGGAUUGUAAAGCACUUUAAGUUGGGAGGAAGGGCUGUAAAUUAAUACUUUGCUGUUUUGACGUUACCGACAGAAUAAGCACCGGCUAACUCUGUGCCAGCAGCCGCGGUAAUACAGAGGGUGCAAGCGUUAAUCGGAAUUACUGGGCGUAAAGCGCGCGUAGGUGGUUUGUUAAGUUGGAUGUGAAAGCCCCGGGCUCAACCUGGGAACUGCAUUCAAAACUGACAAGCUAGAGUAUGGUAGAGGGUGGUGGAAUUUCCUGUGUAGCGGUGAAAUGCGUAGAUAUAGGAAGGAACACCAGUGGCGAAGGCGACCACCUGGACUGAUACUGACACUGAGGUGCGAAAGCGUGGG
rnacentral:rRNA from 1 species